rnacentral:rRNA from 1 species
UGGUAGUCCACGCUGUAAACGAUGUCGAUUUGGAGGUUGUGGUCAUAAACUGUGGCCUCCGGAGCUAACGCGUUAAAUCGACCGCCUGGGGAGUACGGCCGCAAGGUUAAAACUCAAAUGAAUUGACGGGGGCCCGCACAAGCGGUGGAGCAUGUGGUUUAAUUCGAUGCAACGCGAAGAACCUUACCUACUCUUGACAUCCAGCGAAUCCUUUAGAGAUAGAGGAGUGCCUUCGGGAACGCUGAGACAGGUGCUGCAUGGCUGUCGUCAGCUCGUGUUGUGAAAUGUUGGGUUAAGUCCCGCAACGAGCGCAACCCUUAUCCUUUGUUGCCAGCGAGUAGUGUCGGGAACUCAAAGGAGACUGCCGGUGAUAAACCGGAGGAAGGUUGGGAUGACGUCAAGUCAUCAUGGCCCUUACGAGUAGGGCUACACACGUGCUACAAUGGCGUAUACAGAGAGAGGCGAGCCAGCGAUGGGAAGCGGAACUCAGAAAGUACGUCGAAGUCCGGAUUGGAGUCUGCAACUCGACUCCAUGAAGUCGGAAUCGCUAGU